GUACUAACACUAAUGUCCCGUCCAUCUCGGCCGUGCGCAGGCUUGCGGGACUCGUUCGCACUAGUGUUCAGCAUGAGGCACUGCUGUGUGCCUAUGUGCACAUCAAGUGCAAGAAAGAAGGACGCCGGAGUAUUAUUCCACAAGAUUCCUGCCGACCUCGAGAUGCGCCAACGAAGGCUAAAGUAAGCACUUCGUUGCCUCGGACUUCCAGGAGAAUACCAAAAUCCAACAACUGAACACGGGAGUGGUGCCCAGCGUGUUCACGUGCUACCCCUCGUAUAUGAAGCCUGCACUUGCCAAGG